GACGAACGCUGGCGGCGUGCUUAACACAUGCAAGUCGAACGGAAAGGCCCUGCUUUUGUGGGGUGCUCGAGUGGCGAACGGGUGAGUAACACGUGAGUAACCUGCCCUUGACUUUGGGAUAACUUCAGGAAACUGGUGCUAAUACCGGCUAGGAGCUCCUGCUGCCUGGUGGGGGUUGGAAAGUUUCGGCGGUUGGGGAUGGACUCGCGGCUUAUCAGCUUGUUGGUGGGGUAGUGGCUUACCAAGGCUUUGACGGGUAGCCGGCCUGAGAGGGUGACCGGCGACAUUGGGACUGAGGUACGGCGCAGACUGCUACGGUAGGCAGCAGUGGAGAAUAUUGCACAAUGAGCGGGAGCGUGAUGCAGCAACGCCGCGUGCGGGAUGAAGGCUUUCGGGUUGUAAACCGCUUUGGGCUGUGACGAAGCGUGAGUGACGGUAAUGGGUAAAGAAGCACCGGCUAACUACGUG
rnacentral:rRNA from 1 species